AAAAGGUUCUUCUCUUAGUUUGUAGGUCAAUUGGUUGUUGUUCUAUGUUGCUGUUGUUGCAUACACGUGAGAGGAGAGUGAUGAAGUAGAGAGGAAAAUGUAGAGAGAUUGAGAGUGAAUACAGUUGAUACAGAGAGUGAAAACAGAGAGAUUUAGAGGGUUGGUAUGCAUAUGGUAAGAAGGGACUAGGCUUGGCAUGGCAAGGUUCAUAGAGGGUUUGACAUGACAUUUGGAAGCUUUGGGCAACAACUGGAUUUAUGACCUUGGAGGCUUUUGAGAUAUGUCUUGUGGAUGAAACACAAGUAGAAUGUGGUUUAAGAGGAUUAGUUGACUUUGGUCAUCUGUUUUAUCAAAAAGUCAACACUUGACCAAGAGUCAACCCUAGGUCAAAAACAUGUAAAUUUUGUGUAAUUUGUGAAUUGGCUUUUGUGUAAUCAAAUGGAUAUUUAUAAUGACAACUUUGAUGAUUUAUAAUGAGAAAUGGAUUGUAUAACUUGUGCUUCAAGUAAAAUAAACUCUCUCCAAAAGUUGAAAAUGAAAUUGAAUAAUCUUGUACUUGAA